rnacentral:rRNA from 1 species
UACAGAGGUCUCAAGCGUUGUUCGGAUUCAUUGGGCGUAAAGGGUGCGCAGGCGGCGAGGCAAGUCGGACGUGAAAUCCCGGGGCUUAACCCCGGAACUGCGUUCGAUACUGCUUUGCUUGAGGACUGGAGAGGAGACUGGAAUUCCUGGUGUAGCAGUGAAAUGCGUAGAUAUCAGGAGGAACGCCAAUGGCGAAGGCGGCAUCCUGGACCAACACUGACACUGAAAAGCGAAAGCCAGGGGAGCAAACGGG